GGCGGAUGGACGGGCGGACGGACGGAGGGAGCGGGAGGGGAAAGCGUCGCUGUGGCUGCGAGGAGCGAAGUAAGGGCAGAAACUUGUCCGCUGGCAGCCGGGCGCGCCGCGGAGACAAAGUCCUCGGGGCUGCUCCGCACCCGCGGACAGAUUGCCAGUGCUACGAAAAUAGGGACUUCCAGCAAGAAGUUCUUCAGCUUGUGAAGCCACAAGGACACCUCAGCCCCUUUCUGUGCUUUCACUCAUGAUGCAGAGGAAACAAGACAUUUAGAGAGCAAAUAAGUUAUGCAAGGGGAAGCUGAUCAAGGGAUCUCAAGAGUUGCAGCUUCCUGGGAUUGUCUGUCAGAGGAAUGAAG
rnacentral:lncRNA from 1 species